GGGGCUGAUUCUGGAUUCGACGGGAUUUGCGAAACCCAAGGUGCAUGCCGAGGGGCGGUUGGCCUCGUAAAAAGCCGCAAAAAAAUAGUCGCAAACGACGAAAACUACGCUUUAGCAGCUUAAUAACCUGCUCUGAGCCCUCUCUCCCUAGCUUCCGCUCUUAAGACGCGUGGAAGCCCUGCCUGGGGUUGAAGCGUUAAAACUAAUCAGGCUAGUCUGGUAGUGGCGUGUCCGUCCGCAGGUGCCAGGCGAAUGUAAAGACAGACUAAGCAUGUAGUACCGAGGAUGUAGGAAUUUCGGACGCGGGUUCAACUCCCGCCAGCUCCACCA
rnacentral:tmRNA from 1 species